rnacentral:rRNA from 1 species
GAGUUUGAUCCUGGCUCAGGAUGAACGCUGGCGGCGUGCCUAAUACAUGCAAGUCGAGCGAACAGAUAAGGAGCUUGCUCCUUUGACGUUAGCGGCGGACGGGUGAGUAACACGUGGGUAACCUACCUAUAAGACUGGAAUAACUCCGGGAAACCGGGGCUAAUGCCGGAUAAUAUUUAGAACCGCAUGGUUCUAAAGUGAAAGAUGGUUUUGCUAUCACUUAUAGAUGGACCCGCGCCGUAUUAGCUAGUUGGUGGGGUAAUGGCUUACCAAGGCAACGAUACGUAGCCGACCUGAGAGGGUGAUCGGCCACACUGGAACUGAGACACGGUCCAGACUCCUACGGGAGGCAGCAGUAGGGAAUCUUCCGCAAUGGGCGAAAGCCUGACGGAGCAACGCCGCGUGAGUGAUGAAGGUCUUCGGAUCGUAAAACUCUGUUAUUAGGGAAGAACAAAUGUGUAAGUAACUGUGCACGUCUUGACGGUACCUAAUCAGAAAGCCACGGCUAACUACGUGCCAGCAGCCGCGGUAAUACGUAGGUGGCAAGCG